UGCCAACGAGUGGCGGACGGGUGAGUAACACGUAGGUAACCUGCCCAGAAGUGGGGGACAACAUUUGGAAACAGAUGCUAAUACCGCAUAACAGCGUUGUUCGCAUGAACAACGCUUAAAAGAUGGCUUCUCGCUAUCACUUCUGGAUGGACCUGCGGUGCAUUAGCUUGUUGGUGGGGUAACGGCCUACCAAGGCGAUGAUGCAUAGCCGAGUUGAGAGACUGAUCGGCCACAAUGGGACUGAGACACGGCCCAUACUCCUACGGGAGGCAGCAGUAGGGAAUCUUCCACAAUGGGCGCAAGCCUGAUGGAGCAACACCGCGUGAGUGAAGAAGGGUUUCGGCUCGUAAAGCUCUGUUGUUAAAGAAGAACACGUAUGAGAGUAACUGUUCAUACGUUGACGGUAUUUAACCAGAAAGUCACGGCUAACUACGUGCCAGCAGCCGCGGUAAUACGUAGGUGGCAAGCGUUAUCCGGAUUUAUUGGGCGUAAAGAGAGUGCAGGCGGUUUUCUAAGUCUGAUGUGAAAGCCUUCGGCUUAACCGGAGAAGUGCAUCGGAAACUGGAUAACUUGAGUGCAGAAGAGGGUAGUGGAACUCCAUGUGUAGCGGUGGAAUGCGUAGAUAUAUGGAAGAACACCAGUGGCGAGGGCGGCUACCUGGUCUGCAACUGACGCUGAGACUCGAGAGCAUGGGUAGCGAACAGGAUUAGAUACCCUGGUAGUCCAUGCCGUAAACGAUGAGUGCUAGGUGUUGGAGG
rnacentral:rRNA from 1 species